rnacentral:rRNA from 1 species
GACGUAGGGCGCAAGCGUUGUCCGGAUUUACUGGGCGUAAAGGAUGCGUAGGCGGACAUUUAAGUCAGAUGUGAAAUACCCGAGCUUAACUUGGGUGCUGCAUUUGAAACUGGGUGUCUAGAGUGCAGGAGAGGUAAGUGGAAUUCCUAGUGUAGCGGUGAAAUGCGUAGAGAUUAGGAAGAACACCAGUGGCGAAGGCGACUUACUGGACUGUAACUGACGCUGAGGCAUGAAAGCGUGGGGAGCAAACAGG